rnacentral:rRNA from 1 species
CUUGGUCAUUUAGAGGAAGUAAAAGUCGUAACAAGGAAAACCGUAGGUGAACCUGCGGAAGGAUCAUUCAUUAAGAGAUUUUAUCUCUAAUAAUUGUGUUUGACACAAUUACAGUGGCAUGAACUGAUGAAAGAUAGGUUCAUGUUGCGAGGUUGCUGGCUACAACCGAAAAAGAUUUUGUUCAAUUCAUUGUUGUUGUUUAUACAACUUUUAACAAUGGAUCUCUCGGCUCCUGUGUCGAUGAAGAACGUAGCAAACUACGAUAAGUGGUGUGAAUUGCUGAUACGUGAAUCAUUGAACUUUUGAACGCAUCUUGCACUUGUUAGUUUACUAGCAAGUACUCCUAAUUCAGUGUCAUUACUUGAAUUCUCUCCCUUGAGGAGGAUAUUGAGUGUCCAUCGGUAGAUGGUUGCUUUAAAUUAGAUAGCAAUUGCUUAGGAAUUGAUGGUGGAACUUACCCUUUGCAAGCUAUAUCAGGACAUUUUUUUUAAUUUCAAGACCUGAAUUUAGGAGGGGAAAUACCCCGUUGAACUUUAGCAUAUCAAUAAGCGGAGGA